ACGAACGCUGGCGGCGUGCUUAACACAUGCAAGUCGAACGGAAAUGCCCUGCUUUUGUGGGGUGCUCGAGUGGCGAACGGGUGAGUAACACGUGAGUAACCUGCCCUUGACUUUGGGAUAACUUCAGGAAACUGGGGCUAAUACCGGAUAGGAGCUCCUGCUGCAUGGUGGGGGUUGGAAAGUUUCGGCGGUUGGGGAUGGACUCGCGGCUUAUCAGCUUGUUGGUGGGGUAGUGGCUUACCAAGGCUUUGACGGGUAGCCGGCCUGAGAGGGUGACCGGCCACAUUGGGACUGAGAUACGGCCCAGACUCAUACGGGAGGCAGCAGUGGGGAAUAUUGCACAAUGGGCGGAAGCCUGAUGCAGCAACGCCGCGUGCGGGAUGACGGCCUUCGGGUUGUAAACCGCUUUCGCCUGUGACGAAGCGUGAGUGACGGUAAUGGGUAAAGAAGCACCGGCUAACUACGUG
rnacentral:rRNA from 1 species